rnacentral:lncRNA from 1 species
GGUAAUCCUAAAUUUCAUACAUAAUGCACUAUUUGUGAGUAAAUUGAGAAAGAUAUAUAAAUUUGACUAAAUCAAUUAACUAAAUCAAACUACUUGAAAAUCAUAGGAAAAAUAAAUCAAAUUAGAAAGACUAAAAUAUGGUUGUACAGCAAAUAUUUAAUUAUUGAUAAACAGGAACCGUAAUCGAGUUAAAUUUUUUAGAAACCAAGAGAAAAACUAGAUAACCAAACAAAAAUCGAGCUAAAUCGUUGAGUUGGACCAAACCGGUUUGGAUCAAACCGGAAUGGCCUACAAGCCUCUAGACCCCGCCUCUCUUCUUUUUCUUUCUUCCUCUCUUCUUCUUCACGCACACAAGGAGCAGCGACGCCGCCUCCCUCUCCUCGUUUCCAGCCACCACUCGACCAGACCAAGGUGGCGAUCAGUUCGUCUGGCGCCUGUGGUCCAUUUUUCGGCCUCCCUUUAAGCAGAUCGGACCUACAGUGGUGCAUAUUGAGCUGUCUCCCUCGACAGCCUCUCCUCCAUCAAGUUCCGGCGAUUUCUCACCGUUUCCGACAGUCUCAACGCGAAUGGUGGGUACAACUCGACUCGCCUCCUUUGUGCGAUCGUUUCUCCGCCUUGAACUCCAGCGAUGGCGCAAGAAGGAUGAAGCAGCCAUGAGAGGAGGAAGCACAGCAGCUGUCAACGCCAUUUUCGGCCAAACGAGGCUCAACAAAUAAAUGAGGGAUUCGGACUCCUCAUGAAUUAAUUAAUUAAUGAAUUUAAUUAAUUAUUUAAAUAAAUUAAAUUAGAUAUUGUUAGAUAUAUUUCAUGAAUAUUAAUUAUGAUUAUAAGGUUGUUACUAAAAUAUAAAUUCCUAGCUAAUAAUAAAUUUUAGGAAUUUUAUUAACAAAUAAAUAGUUAUAGAACAAUUGCUUCUAAUGGACUGUGUGAAUUGAAUGAACGGAUGAGUGAUAGUUAUGUCGGACGGGAUAUGUGUUGACAUGUGGAUUAUAUAAAAUUUGGAUAGUCCAGUUUAUAGAGGAAAUGUUGCUGAAUUUUCAGUAAAG